ACCGCUGAGAUGGCCACACUGCCGACCGGUGCAGCAGUGGCGGUGUAAUCGGCUGAUUCCACCUCUACUGUCAACGCGCGCGAAGAGUAGAAGAAAACAAACAAAAAUUCUCCAUUGCUAAGUGGGCAGUGAUAUUUAGAGCAGGGAAAUUGAUCUAAAUUAGUGCAAAAGAGUGCGAUUAGGGCCAGUUCUAGUGUUUAUUUGAAACCUAUCCCUAAGAGCACGACCUGUAAGUAGAAACGGUAAGAUUAGUGUUAAUUCAAAGCACUAACUAUGAAUACUUACGCGCAGCACACGAAGACCACCGCCGUCACAGAACCGUCACUUGGUGCGAACUCGUACGGUGAUGAUGAUUUGAGCGGGAAAAAGGAGAAGCAAUUAAGGAGGUUCUAGGAAGGAGGAGUAAAUCGGUAGUUGGAGCAAGACUAUUUUAGUAAGUAGGAAAAAAGGAAUGGAAUUGAAAUAAUUACUUACCCUAAAUUAUAUUGCAGUUUUUGAGCUGCCAACAAUAAACGGCUGCUACAAGAAAUUUAGUUUUUCACUUCACGGUUCAUCCGAACAUACUCAAAAAUAAAAUAUUGGUUCGGUGAACUUCAACCAAGAUGAUCGACUCCAACCUGAACCAAACGGUCUGCGGCGCGUGCGGGAUCGAUUUCAUCGGAGCGGAGGAAAUUACCGCCUACAGCAAAUGCGUCGAGAUGUACCAUUCUCGCUGCGUAUACAGCACGGCGGCGGACACAAAGUGGUGCUGUCCGGAGGGUUGUUUGCAGCGGAACGUGGAUGCUCGGGUAAAAGACGAUCGCGAUCGACGAUUAAAUCGUUCAUCGGAAACAGUAAGUAAACAACCAGUUGCGGUGACCGAAUCGGACAUGCCGGAGAUCGCCCAAACAGCGCCAGAAGAUUUUGACGCUGACCGCUGGAUCCGACAGAAGCAGAUCGAGAUCGAGUUGGAGCUGGCAGAAAGGCAGGCACAGAUCGAUCGCGAGCUGCGAGAGAAGGAAGAAAAGAUGGCCGAAGCAAUCCGGAUGAUGAUGCGGCGGCAAGGAGCGAACUUGGAGCUCGAGCGAAAGAGGAAAGCGGACCACGAGAGGCGAAUGGAAGAUUUAGAGAGGUCGUUCCGGAGAAGGUCGUCACUCAUCGACGAGCGGUUGGAGAAGAUAUGGUUCAGCUGCGAGAAGCCCCUGCCAUCCGCAGCGAUGGAGGAGACGGCAGUAUCCGACGAGAAAGUCGAACGCGAUGAAGGUUCGUCGGAUACGGAUGAAGAUGGCGACGAAAGUGCGAUAAAUCGCGCAAAGGACGCCAUUGAGAGCAGUACGAAGCUGGGCAAGACAUUCGUAAGCAGAAGUCCAAACGGGCUGGGGCAGCAGCGUUCCGGACUUAAAAAGGCACGACUGGCCGCGGGCAGGGGAUUCACAAGACAGUCUCCUUGCUACCCGAACGACCCAGAAGAGUGGCAAAAGUCUUUAGGAACGCGAGAAGGAUCCUCGAGAGCCUAUGGAGUGACGGACGAACGGAAACUUGCGGAGCUUCCAGACUGGCUCAAAUGUGUGGCGCGAGACACAGGACGGUCACUGGUGGAUUGUGUGGAACUACAGCAUGCGGAGAGUGCGCGCGGACAUGCGCAUCCGAAGGCGGACCAGCGGGCAUCGCUCACGUCGCUCGAAACCGCAAGGUAUCAAGUGUGCGAGCAUAUGGAGGCGACGGAUCACACACAUCAUUUGGUGUAUCUGCUCGCGCAAGACCCGGUUAGCGAACUUCCGAACAGGGAGGAACGGCACCGGGCAGACAUCAAGAGAAAGACGGAAGCGAAAGCCAACCCGUCUAGAAUCAUUCCGGAAACAAUAUCCGGGACGAGCAGAAGAAGAAGACAGGUAGAGGCAGUGGACUUUUACUGUCGGAAGAGUGACAGCUCGAGUCCGAACAGCGUCAUUAAAAAGCAACAAAAUGUGUGCCUCGACCACAAGUUGCGAUUUUGUGAGGAAGUUAACGAGCUGUCCGACAAGAGCACGAAGAUUAGGGUCGUCAAGAGCUGGGGAGCAACACUUCGCCCUGUAUCUGGAGACGUACAAAAGAAGCUCGGCCUGCAGCGGACGGCUGAGGCGCAUCGCGCGUGGCGAAGAAUCACGCGGACGAGUGAGUGGACCGUCGCUGUGGACAAGACCGACGGCGAGACACGGCUGAUGAAACCAGAACGGUCGGUGCAGAACGCCAGCGGUAUACUGGCGGUCGACGGUUGGCUGAAUCUUGUCACAAUUCGUUGCGACCUUCGAUGGAUGCUGUUGGCGCAGAACCAACAACACGAAGAAGCGGUGGUAAAGGAUCCGGAUAAACCGACGAAGCACAACCCACUGCAAGUAUCGGAGACGAGUCUUCCGUUGAUGACACAUCUAUGUUCGCCCACGCUGACGUCGGCGAGGUCGUCGUGGACGUGGAAAAGAACGAGGCACGUGGCUGCGCUUGGAUUGCACAAUCUGGGACGAAAGCUCCUGGACAGCAGCGAAACUGGAUGCACUCCGAAGUCGAGGGUAACGCAAGCAGAGAACGAAGAUAUCCCGGAGCAGCAACACAAGUGGCGGGGUCGACGUGAGGAGGAUGAAGCGGUUUUGAAGGUGGAUGGUAAAUCCGACAAGCCGCAAGGCCCGACGGAUGUUACGGGCUGGGGUGUUACGACCGCUGAGAUGGCCACACUGCCGACCGGUGCAGCAGUGGCGGUGUAAUCGGCUGAUUCCACCUCUACUGUCAACGCGCGCGAAGAGUAGAAGAAAACAAACAAAAAUUCUCCAUUGCUAAGUGGGCAGUGAUAUUUAGAGCAGGGAAAUUGAUCUAAAUUAGUGCAAAAGAGUGCGAUUAGGGCCAGUUCUAGUGUUUAUUUGAAACCUAUCCCUAAGAGCACGACCUCACACGAAGACCACCGCCGUCACAGAACCGUCACUUGGUGCGAACUCGUACGGUGAUGAUGAUUUGAGCGGGAAAAAGGAGAAGCAAUUAAGGAGGUUCUAGGAAGGAGGAGUAAAUCGGUAGUUGGAGCAAGACUAUUUUAGUAAGUAGGAAAAAAGGAAUGGAAUUGAAAUAAUUACUUACCCUAAAUUAUAUUGCAGUUUUUGAGCUGCCAACAAUAAACGGCUGCUACAAGAAAUUUAGUUUUUCACUUCACGGUUCAUCCGAACAGGUCGACUUGCUGCUGCUGUUGAUCCGCUGCUGGUGGCUGGUUCCGGAACUCGGCGGGAACGCCGGCGAUGCCUCAAAGGCCGCCGGGGUUCGAUGGCUUCGCCCAAAAAGGCCACAAAAGGGGGGGGGGGGGGUUUCUUCUUCGGCGUUUCGCGGGCCAUAUGGUGACGGAUGGCCAAGUUCGCUGUCCGGGGAGUGGUACCGCGCGCACAAAAGAGUGGUCCAUCCCGAGCGAGGCACACCACUGUUCUUUGGGGACUGGUCCACAGAAUUUGACGUGUACCACAAUGCACUUAGUACCGCGGUACUUCGUGCGACCAGUCCCGACCACUUUUCACUUCACUGCAGUUUCUUUGCACUACACUCGCUCGGGGGUACGAUUUGACCGAGGGGACUUAACGCGGCUAGGGUUUUAACUUGUUCGUGGUGUCCUCUAACCGUUUGUAGUGCUGUCUUUCCUCAGUCCGUACUGUUAACUUUAAGCGAUUUUAAUCUUGUGGUACUUCACUGUUUUAUCACUGUUUAAUGUGUGAAUUUUAAUUAGGUUUUUAAAUUGCACACGCGAACUUUCAAACCGGGUCACAUGUUGACGGGUGACACCGGCGCGAUUGCCGAUCUUCACUCCUCCGGACGAUGGUAAAAUAAGAGAGCGGGCCUUCGUUUUCGACCGCUUUUAUACCCCAGAAAACCCGUUCCCGCCAGCUCACUUCCGGUUGCGACGAUGACAGUUGGUUGACAGUGACAUCUGUCACUGUCAGCUGGAACAGGCUGAAACUUACAUUUCAUAUGGGGUUGGUGUCUAUGAAUUUUUCUUGUUACUUUUCUCGACUUAAUAGAGUCGCCUACUUUUAAUUGAUUUUAACUGUGCUUGUUUUCUAAUUGUUUUUUUUUAAUCAUGCAUGAAUAGGUUUUAAUAAAUAGGAAAUAAAUUAAUAAAAAUCUCCUAGUUUGACACCAACCAAAGGCUAAUAAAUAUAAAAUAAAUGCAUGUGGCACACGAUAAACAUGAAGACAUACAUUUAAAUAUAUUUAAACAUUUACAGACAACAAUUUAAAAAUUUACAAUCUUCCUUUUAGUCAAAUCAUGCUGGUCUUUGAUUCAGUGAGUA